UGGGGAAUAUUGCACAAUGGGGGAAACCCUGAUGCAGCGACGCCGCGUGAGCGAUGAAGUAUUUCGGUAUGUAAAGCUCUAUCAGCAGGGAAGAAAAUGACGGUACCUGACUAAGAAGCCCCGGCUAACUACGUGCCAGCAGCCGCGGUAAUACGUAGGGGGCAAGCGUUAUCCGGAUUUACUGGGUGUAAAGGGAGCGUAGACGGGUAUACAAGUUAGUAGUGAAAUCCCUCGGCUUAACUGAGAAACUGCUACUAAAACUAUAUAUCUUGAGUACUGGAGGGGAAAGCGGAAUUCCUAGUGUAGCGGUGAAAUGCGUAGAUAUUAGGAGGAACACCAGUGGCGAAGGCGGCUUACUGGACGGUAACUGACGUUGAGGCUCGAAAGCGUGGGGAGCAAACAGGAUUAGAUACC
rnacentral:rRNA from 1 species